rnacentral:lncRNA from 1 species
CCGAGCUCCUCUGCCCUCUCACCUAUCUCAAGAGUUAAUGAUUGACUUUUUAGUUAAUGAAGUUUGUCUGAUUGCAUUGAAUUAAAUUAAUCCCUAAUAUAAUUGGGAAUUAAAUCUGAACACGAUCGCGCAUGGAAAGCGAAUUUUUUUAGAAUUUGAUUCCAAUGAGGAAACUGUUAUGCAUAUUCAAAACAUUCCUUAAAUACAAAAAAAAAAAAAAAAAAAAAAAAAAAACACUUAUAUAUCCAUCCGUCGUGCAAUUUUCGGUCCACAGAAAAUCUUAGAUAGAGCGGUUGAGAAAAAAUAGAGAUACAGAGAGAAGAGUAAGAAAGAAAAGAAAAGAAAAAGAGAAGAAGGAUCGAGCACGAUUUGUGAUUUCAAGUUCAAAAGACCACGUUCUUCCAGUUAAGAUUUCGACCCAAGAAUUAAGUAAGAUAUUUCUUUUGAAUUCAAUUACCCCAUUAUUAUUUUAUAUGCAUGAAAUCCGAGUCGAUGCGAAUCAGCAAACGUUAUUUACUAUUUUUCUUUCAUUGAACUAGGAAAAGAACAAGGACCUGUUCCGUCUUUUGCUUUCAUGAACAGGGUUUUAUUGAUUCAAUACAAAGUUUUCUUCAUAUAUUGAUGUAUGGGACUGAUCUAAUUGAAAACUGGACUAUAUACUAUUUAUUAAGCUUUCUGUUUUUCAAUUUUCACGUUUCUGUUUUGUCAUAAUUUCGUGAUUUUAUCCCUCAAAUCAGUUUUCACGAAAAUUAUUCAUAUAAAUUACAUCUAAUAAUUUUUCGAAAACCAGAUUCUGCCUUUUUAAUAUGUUUAUCCUAUACGAAGUUAGCUUUCUGGAGUUAUGAAAUUCUUUCCCCAUCUUAUGUAUGUUUUUAGACAGCUUGCUGACUUCCCCUAAGUGGUUGUGUAUGAAUUUUGGCAAAAUUACACUUAAACAUUUAACGUAAUUGAUUAGAGGUUGAUGUCCGAGAGAGAAGGGCAUUCCAACUUGUUAUCAGAACCAACUUUUUAGUUUUAGAGCUACUAGAAAUAUAACUGUCUUAUGUGUUCUUCUAUGUCUUAGUGCAUUCUUUUCCGUUUAAUGGCCAAUGAUUCCUCAAUCUCACCGAUCUAGGUAAAUUACUUACAGAGUUUUUUCUUUUAUAUAUUGAAGGAGAAGAAAAUGGCAGCAUCCAGAGCCUCAUCUAACAGAAAAAACAAUGAGGAGAAAAAGAAGGAGCAGCUGCUUCGUGCAGCUCGAAAGCGAUAUGGAUCUACUAUUGUUAUUGAGCAGUUUCUCAAGUUCAACCCUUCAUCAUUCGAUGGUACUGCUGGAACAGGGAAGUGGUUAGAAGAUAUGGAGCGUAUUUUGCGAGUCAUGGAGUGCAUUGACGUAGAGAAGGUUUCCUGCGCAUCAUUUAUGCUAAAAAAUAGAGCUUGUCAUUGGUGGGAGAGUAGAAUUGAACGAAAUGUGACUUGGGCUAGGUUCAGACAGCUGGUGCUUGAAAAGUACUCUCCCGAGACACUUAGAGAUCAGAAAGAGGCGAAGUUGCUAGUGAAAGUCGAGAAUGAAGGAGAGAAACAAGAGAAGAGAAAACUUGAUGCCUUGAAGACAAAAGGAGGCCUGAGCAAGAAGAAAAAGUCUGCCAAUCAAACACAUUGCACCAAAUGCAACCGGCAUCACAAAGGGGAGUGUUUGUUUGGGAGGAACGUCUGCUACGAAUGCAGCCAGCCAGGGUAUAUGUCUCGAGGGUGCACUCAGAAUCAGGGGAAUAAAGAGAGUAAAGAUCAGAAGAAAGCCAAGGCAAACCGCAGUUUUAAGCUGAAAUAGACACAUUUACAUUGCACAUCAGAAUUGUACAGAAACUGUGAAUGGUUCAAGAUGUUUAUCACACACAUUCUUGUAAUAUUUCACGGUAUUUUUGUGUGCAGUUUAAUAUUCCUUUAUUUACCGAUUGGUUGCUGAUAUAAUGCUGUUUUUCAUUAUGACUUGUCAUUACCAUCUAUAACAUUUCUUCUUUGUAUAGGACGAUAUGAAUCAAUUUAAAUAAAUCACUGUUAUUUAACUAAAUAUUUAAGAAUGUGUUAUCUGGACAAUUGAAUCACCCAAC